rnacentral:lncRNA from 1 species
CUGACCUUGGUGUCUUCAGGGACGGACCACCACGACCAUCUCUCUGGGCAACCUGUGCCAGCGCCUCAAUGCCCCUAUGGCUGCACAGCCCCAGCUCUCAGCCUGUCCUUGCAGGGGAGGUGUCCUUCCAGCCUGUGAGACAGGAGAUGGAUGAGGCCUGUGAAUGAACACCAGGUGAGAGAAAACAGCACAUCUCCCACCUGCCAAGCGGCUGUCUGUUGGGGAGCGCAAGGCACAAAUCUGCAGAUAUCAACACCUCACUCAGCACAGUGCUCACAGCCUUUCUGUUGGCACGGAAUGUACGGUACCUUUCUCCAUGUGCCCCUCUGAGCUAAGAAAAGCACACGUAGCAGGAGCUCAGGCUCUCCCUAGGAACGAGUUAUCCUCCAGCAUUAGUAACUCCA